rnacentral:rRNA from 1 species
GACGAGGGGUCCAAGCGUUGUUCGGAAUUAUUGGGCGUAAAGGGCGCGUAGGCGGCCAUUCAAGUGACGGGUGAAAGCCCUCGGCUUAACCGAGGAACUGCCUGUCAGACUGGAUGGCUUGAGACCGGGAGAGGUGAGUGGAAUUCCCAGUGUAGCGGUGAAAUGCGUAGAUAUUGGGAGGAACACCAGUGGCGAAGGCGGCUCACUGGACCGGAACUGACGCUGAGGCGCGAAAGCGUGGGGAGCAAACAGG